UAAGACAGGUGCUGCAUGGCUGUCGUCAGCUCGUGUUGUUGAAAUGUGGUAGUCCGCAACGAGCGCAACCCUUAUCCUUAGUUGCCAGCGAUUCGGUCGGGAACUCUAGGGAGACUGCCGGUGAUAAACCGGAGGAAGGUGGGGACGACGUCAGGUCAUCAUGGCCCUUACGAGUAGGGCUACACACGUGCUACAAUGGUAUGUACAGAGGGAGGCAAGCUGGCGACAGUGAGCGGAUCUCUUAAAGCAUAUCGUAGUCCGGAUUGGAGUCUGCAACUCGACUCCAUGAAGUCGGAAUCGCUAGUAAUCGCAAAUCAGAAUGUUGCGGUGAAUACGUUCCCGGGGCUU
rnacentral:rRNA from 1 species